CAGAAUGCCCCUUUCGGUUUCUAUAUCGUUCAUCUUUUUUAUUUCAAUCUUCAUGCAUCCAGAUGCUAUCUUGCCCAGGGUUUCAACAAAAUUACUUUCUGCUCUAGAUUUGUCUAGGGUCAGAACAAAAAUAUUACUCUAUAAAAUGAGCAUGGAAUGACAAAACUCAUGUUCACUCUUGAAAACUAUUUCACAGUGCUUUAUAUAAACAUUUUGGUUUUUUUUUAUUCCCUACUUUUAAAAGUGUUUUUUGUUCAAAUCAAUUAUUACCUUUUUUGUGAGGGGUUCAAAGAAAAAAAUUGACAAACCAAUUAUUAUUACUUAAAAGGAUAAGAGCAGCCGUUUGUCUUUUGGGCCAACGGCCCUCUCUUCUGGCCUGCCGCAUCCACUGCGUCCACCGAAUCUUAUCAUGUCUGCUUCCUUGAGCUCAUCUUCUUCUCCUCUCUCUGCCUCCAAGUCCUCUCUGACUGCGCUGUUUCGCUAGAUCCCCGGAGAGCAUGAAGAGCACCGCCAUCUGCUCCAACCCGCCGACUGGUAGAUCCGUUUUGGUUCUUAACAGAAUCAACGAGAGACCCCUCCGAGCACAAGGCUAAUUACCAAGUAUUUUCAGGUCAACUACACUGAAAGCAAACUAAAAGAUUACAUUGACCCAGAUUAUGAUAUGCUCAAGGUCAGGUUUGCAAAUAGUGAUCGACACACCCAUUGUCGCAUCAUCGUAGGAACCGACAAGACAGCUACCGUAACAACCAACUGGUCUGAGUUCCGCCGCCUUGCAAAAAUCCAUGAAGGAGACAUCUGUGCCUUUCUUUUUCAAGGUCACCACAGAGCAACACCUAGUUCUCAUCAUGCAUUGCCUUUAGAUGAACCAUUGAUAGCAACAGAAGUCGUAUCUAGAUAUCAUCUAGCAUUCUAAGGACUACUAAUCAAGCUCUGUAAUAGGAUGAAGCCUUCCUCUGUUUUUCGACGAUGCUAUCUGUUGCUUUUGAACAGCUACCACCUAUGCUUUUAUCUAUAUAACCUCUGUUGUUGUUCCUCAUCGAUCUAUUAAUAUGCAUAAUGCCACCCUUAUCUAUAAUUAUCUGUUUUUACUACUUUCUCUGUUUCAAACAUCGAGUGCUCACCAGCAACAAUAAAUAUGCUAAGCAAGGAAGACGCAUGCCCUAACUGGCAGCAUCCACCUUCCACUCAAGGGAUAUAGCACUACCAUUUAGCAGAGUGUUCCAGGAGAAACAACAAUCAUGAAUAGAAACAGAAACCAGCAUACGCAGAGUAAAAAGGACCCGAGGGAGUACAUACGGCGCGGCGUAGGACAGACGGUGGAGGACAAUGUAUCUAGGGUUUCGGUUUCACAACAGAGUGGGGCACACACAGCUAGGCUACCUUGGACGAACCGAGCACAAGCGGAUCAGGCCAGACUAUGUUCAUGCGUUAAAAAAAAGUUUGUGUAAUUCAAAAAAUAAAAUAGCAUUCAAACAAAAUGUACGUUACAUUUUAAACUAUG